rnacentral:rRNA from 1 species
CCUACGGGAGGCUGCAGUGAGGAAUAUUGGUCAAUGGACGCAAGUCUGAACCAGCCAUGCCGCGUGCAGGAAGAAGGCUCUAUGAGUUGUAAACUGCUUUUGUACGAGGGUAAACGCAGAUACGUGUAUCUGUCUGGAAGUAUCGUACGAAUAAGGAUCGGCUAACGCCGUGCCAGCAGCCGCGGUACUACGGAGGAGUCAAGCGUUAUCCGGAUGGAUUGGGUUGAAAGGGUGCGUAGGCGGUCGGAUAAGUUAGAGGUGAAAUCCCGAGGCUCAACUUCGGAAUUGCCUCUGAUACUGUUCGGCGAGAGAGUAGUUGCGGUAGGCGGAAUGUAUGGUGGAGCGGUGAAAUGCUUAGAGAUCAUACAGAACACCGAUUGCGAAGGCAGCUUACCAAGCUACUUCUGACGUUGAGGCACGAAAGCGUGGGGAGCAAACAGGAUUAGAUACCCCUGUAGUC